GACGAACGCUGGCGGCGUGCUUAACACAUGCAAGUCGAACGGUGAACCAGAGCUUGCUCUGGGGAUCAGUGGCGAACGGGUGAGUAACACGUGGGCAACCUGCCCAGACUCUGGGAUAACCUCGGGAAACCGAUGCUAAUACCGGAUACGACCACUUCGGACAUCCGACGGUGGUGGAAAGUUUUUCGGUCUGGGAUGGGCCCGCGGCCUAUCAGCUAGUUGGUGGGGUAAUGGCCUACCAAGGCGACGACGGGUAGCCGGCCUGAGAGGGCGACCGGCCACACUGGAACUGAGACACGGUCCAGACUCCUACGGGAGGCAGCAGUGGGGAAUAUUGCACAAUGGGCGAAAGCCUGAUGCAGCGACGCCGCGUGAGGGACGACGGGCCUUCGGGUUGGUAAACCGUCUUUCUAGCAGGACGAAGCGAAAGUGACUGUACCUGCAGAAGAAGACACCGGCUAACUACGUGCCAGCAGCCGCGGUAAU
rnacentral:rRNA from 1 species